rnacentral:rRNA from 1 species
GAUGAACGCUAGCGGCAGGCUUAAUACAUGCAAGUCGUGGGGCAGCAUGAGUAACAAUACUUGAUGGCGACCGGCAAACGGGUGAGGAACACGUACACAACCUUCCUUCAAGCGGGGAAUAGCCCAGAGAAAUUUGGAUUAAUACCCAUAAUAUAUUUGAUAAGGCAUCUUAUUAAUAUUAAAGCUUCGGCACUUGAUGAUGGGUGUGCGGCUGAUUAGAUAGUUGGCGGGGUAACGGCCCACCAAGUCUACGAUCAGUAGCUGAUGUGAGAGCAUGAUCAGCCACACGGGCACUGAGACAC